AUACUUAAUACGAAUACAAAAGGAUUUCCAUUAAAUCUAAAUAUUCCACUCGAAUAAAAACUUCUCUUCCAGAGAAACUGUACAUCUGAAAAAAAAAAAAAUUCAAUUCUUCUUUUUUCGCAGUCACGUCCAUCUGUAUCGAACUUUCUAUCGAGAUUAUUACGAGUACGUACAUACCAGGAGAAGAGAAUUUAUAAGGAAGGUGCACCGGUUCGAAGCAGUUCAUGCGAAUGAAAAAGAACUUAGAGAUCCUCGAGGCGAGAUCAAGGGUCGAUCUAGAUCAAGCAUUCAAGCUGAUCGACCGUUGCUGACCCAUCAUAUUUUCGGUGAAGUGGUUCGAAAGUUUUCAGGUCGAUUUGGCCACAAAUACGGUUUUAACCGGGGUUAAAAAGGAUUUUAAAUCUCUUCCAGCCUCGCAAACGGCACGAGCCUCGGUGGAUACCAGGCCUCCGGUUGGUCUGCAGUUGACCGUGAAUAAAAUAAAAGCCAUCGGAUGCGUGUUAAAAAACCCUCUCUGGACCAGAGGAAUCCAGAGGACUAGGAGGGUGGAAUUGUUGGACGAAGAUGGCGAAAGCGAAAGGGAAAGAGAUAUCUUUUCGUCGAUGACCCAUAACUGUCUUAUACAUGAGGACGUUUAAAGAA